rnacentral:rRNA from 1 species
UACGGAGGAUCCGAGCGUUAUCCGGAUUUAUUGGGUUUAAAGGGUGCGUAGGCGGCCUUGUAAGUCAGGGGUGAAAGACGGUAGCUCAACUAUCGCAGUGCCUUUGAUACUGCAGGGCUUGAAUGUACUUGAGGUAGGCGGAAUGUGACAAGUAGCGGUGAAAUGCAUAGAUAUGUCACAGAACACCAAUUGCGAAGGCAGCUUACUAUGGUAUGAUUGACGCUGAGGCACGAAAGCGUGGGGAUCAAACAGG